UCCUAUUCGCCUAACUAGCCUAGGACCUCUCUUUUCUUUCUCUCCAAUGUUGAAAAUCAACCAGAGAUCUCAACCAGACUAACCAAGUCAUGCUCUUCCAUGUCUGCAAUCCGUUCAACCCUCAAACCAUCGAACAACUAACAAAAUCCAUUAAUUUGAUCUCUUUUUUCAUCUGCUCUCUCUGUACCUACCUCAAUCAACAUCAGCUGCUCUUCUAUCACCCUAUGUUGAAGAAAAUUGCUCUAUAAUUUCAUCAAAAAAUGGGAAAAUUCGAGGACCCAUUAGUUUCAAGGUGUUUUUCCUUUGAUUCGACUACUAUCAAGCUUAAAUUGAUGGGUCUAAAGCCUCUCCAUCCCCAAACCGCCAGUCGUCUCUCAAAUCGGCUGAGAAGAGGUUCACUGUCCGUUUUGAGUUUGAGUUCGAAUUUUCGAUGAAAAGCCUUAGUUUGUUGCCCCACGCAAGGUAAACUCUAUCUCGUCAAAUUAUAUUAUAUAUUUUGUUUUUUGUGAUUCAUCAAUUUUUUGAAUUCGUUAGUCGAUUCUGGACGUGAAUAUGAAAUAAAAUGAUGUCUGGUCAUUUGAUUUCGUCUACAUUAUCUGAGGCGUUGACAAAAUAUUUCUAGUUGGGAAUUUGAUUCAAAUGAAUUUGAUCAAUCUUGAGGAUUCAAAUAGAGAAGCUGUCAAUUUUGUUUUACUGGUUGUGAAAGUAAAUUCAUAGUGGUAGUUCUCGCGUCGUUGGACUUUAUACACGUUUGACAGUGCGUCGAUAGAUUAUUCAAACCAUUUAAUUAGCUUAAGAUAGACUCUGUGAAUCUUAUGCCUCCUAUAACGCAUCCAGUGGGCUGUUCUGGGUUUAUUUGAUGUUGGUUUCGUUGCUUUAAUGGUGCCAUAGUGACUUAGAUGUGUUCCUCUUUGGCUCGUGUGUUCACCAGGUCCUAGUAGACUUGAUUUUGUCCAAAAAAAUGUUUUUGAACAGCUUUAAACGUUACAUAUUCUUGGUUGUACAACAUGGAAUCCUUGAAACUUUUGUAUGAAAGGUGAAUGCGACAUCGUGUUGGUAUUGUUUUAGGAUAGCUAUUCACUUUUUUUACCUGCUAACUUAGAGUGUAAAGAAGCUUUACAUGUUUUAGAUUUUGAAAUACGAUUCAUUAGUUGCUUAUAGACCAUUGUGUUGUUUUUUUCGUUUCAUAACAUAGACAUAAAACCAGUAACUUGACUCCUUGUUAUUUAAAUAAGCGUGGAAGCUCACUGUUAAGCUAGAGUUGAAUUAAUUUUAGUGGCUUCUUAUAUGGUCAUGUGCGGUAGAUACCUAUAUAUGUCUAGCCUAAAUAACUAGCGUAAAGAAUGACAUCAAUUUGGGGGUCUAAGUAGAGGCGAUCAGACCAUAGCUAUUUAAUUCUUGAAGAUUAUAUAUGUUGUUAUGCAAAACUUGGGUACAUGCUAAUUACCUACUUAAGUUGGUUAAAAUUUUAAUACUAGCUCAUGUGUAACUAUUCUCUUUUGUCGUAGAAAUUUUUUUCUGCUUCAAGGCCUGUUUUAACUAUUAAAAAGGUGCAUUUAUAUAAGAAUCAACUUGUAGCUUGUCUCUAAUGAUAUUCUCUGAUCUUGACAACCUUCUUUUCUGAAAAAAUAUAAUUUUUCGACAGUUGCAUGAGUUACUUCAUAGAUCCCAGGCCUGGGUAUUUUUAAUCUACACGUGAUAGGCAUUGACAUUAUAUGUUUAUGUUUGCAUAGCUGUGGUUGCAAAUAUUUGUUAUUCAUACUUCAUAUCUUUUUUCUCUAAAAUUUUUCUCAACUUUGAGUUAGUGAACUUAUAUAUGUCACUGCACCCUUUAAAAAUGGCAGAAAGGGCUUGCCUUGUGUUUGAACCAUAAACUAGAAUCGAGUAGUAAUCUAUCUUGAUAUGUUUGGUCUUAUUAGCAUAGCUGCUUUCGAAUGACUACAUCGGAUAGAUAAUCAUUCCCUGUUAGUAAGGCAUGGCUCUUUUAUUUGUACUCUCUCCAUUAACAAGACAGAUGCAAUUAUAUAUUUCAAUAAUAAUACUUUAGCGACAUGUUUCUCUGGUUUUCUCAUGUAUAGUAUAUAUACAUUUAUUUAUAGUAACGACCAGCAUAUAGGAGAACUUCUAUUUGAGUUGUACACGAGCAUAAACAUCAGUCUAUAAAACGAAGGAUUGCAUGAUCCUUUUCAUUACUAAAUCGCUAAAUUUUUUUACUCGUUUUGCCACUUAAACUUUGAUUGCUCCAAAAUGUCACUGGAUAACUCUCUUUUUUUUCUUUAGCCUAAGAAGUCAAGUUUGUUAAAAAUAUUCCAUCAUUUGUUCGUAACUCUCGGUUGAAAUUGGUUCUUCUUGCGUAAAAAGGUCACAGUUCUCCGAGAAAACUCCACCUUUCGGUUUAAUUAUCACCCAUAUAUGCAAUAUACAUACAUUAAGAUGGUGGAAAUUCUUACACAUGAGAGAAAGAUUCAACCAGAUGUUUUUAUUCUUAUUUUGAGUGUGCCAACUGUUUUAUAUCUUUUGGUAUCGUAUGAUCUAAUCGGUUCUUAAUCUUUAUAUUAUUUUGUUUCAUGUGUAACUCUUCCUCCUAUGUUCUUGUCUUAUUUCACGUGACAUGAGGCUGGUAUGAUUUGAAUAGUCUUCAAGUUGUUAUUGAGGGUAAGGAUCGAGCACUAGAGUUAGAAAUUUGCCCCCCUUGCUAACUUGGAUUUGUAAAUUUCCUGCUAUAAUUUGUAUCUUGGUAGUUUACCUGAACUCGUGUUUCCCUUAUUGGUGCCUCAUUUGAUCAAUUUUAGAGUAAAGUCCCUUCUGCCUUAGGCUGAAAUGUUAAUUUUUCUUAAUCCACUUCAAUUAGUGUUCGUAAUCUUCAAGAUGGAGUUCUAGUGAAAAUAAUUUUGAGUUAUACGUGCAAAAUCCUUCUUCUCCCCUUUGAUCAACUUUGCUGGCAGUUUUUCCACACACAGAAAUAGUGUUUUGGUUUGCUUGGUUUAGCUCUCGCUCACAUGAUACUCUACUUGUCAAUUUGGUAGCUAGAACUCUAAUUCUAUGGUCUUUUUUUACUAACGUAUAGAAUGUUAUAUAGCUUUUCUCUAGCAUUAACACCAAAUGAAAACUCCGCAUGACUGUUACGUUAGAUUAUAACCAACUUGCCCGGAGCAUUUUUUGAGUAAUACUUGACCUAUGCUUAAUAUUUUUCGAAUCAGUGUAGUUACUAUUCCCCUUAUUUGAUUUUCUACUUGACUGCAAACAUUAAUGUGUUUUUCGCCUAAUUCACUUUGCAUCUCUCAUAAGAUUGAGUAUAUGCUAAUUCUUAUCUUUUCUUGUGUCAUGUGAACUCGGGAGCGCAUUUGGAAUUCCAUGGCUUGACUCCAUCUCUGUCCAAAUAAUAGAAGCGAUAACAAAUGCAUUACGUAUCUCCGUCUAGCAGUCUAGUUCCUCAUUCUCUUUUUUUAAGCUCUAUUCUUCUUUUGUAGACACUUAUUAUUAUUUUUACUUAAUAUUCCGCACGUUGUCAUCUGAAAUUGGUGUUUUGUAUGUUCUUGUCUGAAUUAACCUUUAAAUAUUAUAGAAAAUCCUUUUUUUAAGAUUC